CUAAAGUAGUAUUAGUUAUGUUCUUGAAACUUAAAAAAUUUGGCGGUAUUUUAGUCUAUUCAGAGGAACCUGUUCUGUAAUCGAUAAUCCACGUUGGACCUUACUUAAAUUUGUUUUUCAAUUUAUAUACCGUCGUUAUAAGAAUAUUUUAUUAGAAUAAUAAUUUUCUAUAAUUUUUAUUAAAAUUUAUAUCAGAUCAAGGUGUAGUUUAUGUUUAAGUAGAGAUGGGUUACAAUAAAAUUAUUUAUAUGAAUUAAUUAUUGAAAUAUAAUUAUGAAGGUGGAUUUGAAUGUAAAAUUAUAAAGAUAAAUAAUUUGAUUUUAGCUCUAAAAUAUGUACACAUCGCCCGUCACUCUUAUUAUUAAGGUAAGAUAAGUCGUAACAUAGUAGAUGUACUGGAAAGUGUAUCUAGAAUGCAAUUUAAAGCUUAAAUAGUAAAGCAUUUCAUUUACAUUGAAAAGAUUUUUGUGCAAUUCAAUAUAGAUUGAAUAAUUUUUAUUUAUUAAUAAAUUUAUUUAUAAUUUUUUAUAUAUUAGAAAUAACUAUAAAAAUAAUGUUUUAGUAUUGUUUAAAGAAUAAAUAAUAUUUAUGAUAGUAUAAUAGUAUUGUGAAAGAAAAUUGAAAUAGUUUGAAAAA
rnacentral:rRNA from 1 species